rnacentral:rRNA from 1 species
GGAUGGGCCCGCGGCCUGUUAGCUAGUUGGUGGGGCAACGGCCCACCAAGGCGAUUAUGGGUAGCUGGGUUGAGAGACCGACCAGCCAGAUUGGGACUGAGACACGGCCCAGACUCCUACGGGAGGCAGCAGUGGGGAAUCUUGCGCAAUGGGCGAAAGCCUGACGCAGCGACGCCGCGUGCGGGACGAAGGCCUUCGGGUCGUAAACCGCUUUCAGCAGGGACGAGGGGAGACCUGACGGUACCUGCAGAAGAAGCCCCGGCUAACUAC